rnacentral:rRNA from 1 species
UACGAGGGGGGCAAGCGUUGUUCGGAAUUAUUGGGCGUAAAGGGCGCGUAGGCGGUUUGACAAGUCUGAUGUGAAAUCUAUGGGCUCAACCCAUAGCCUGCAUUAGAAACUGUCGGGCUUGAGUAUGGGAGAGGUGAGUGGAAUUUCCGGUGUAGCGGUGAAAUGCGUUGAUAUCGGAAGGAACGCCGGUGGCGAAAGCGACGGACUGGACCUCUUCUGACGCUGAGGCGCGAAAGCCAGGGGAGCAA